rnacentral:antisense_RNA from 1 species
AGCUCCCUCUUUGCCCACUAGCAGGGCAUUAGCUGGUGCUGAAGACAGUGGCUGCUUGGCGAGCCUGGAUCUCCAAGUGACUCCAAGUGACCCCCUCAGCAACUCCUGAUGAACAGGACUGAAGCCAAUAUUAAAGCAAGUCAACCAAAGAUUCUCUGGUGUAGACAAGACAGCAAAAGGACAGACUACCUUGUGGAACCUAGCAUUGUUCUCCUUCUGCAGCACUAAGUACUGUGUGCAGAAAUGUGAUUGAGAUUCAAGUCAGGGCCUCUCUGCCCUUUUCCCUCCAGAAACAAAACCAAGAUAAUUUAUCCUGAACACGGUGAAAAAAGGAAGGGAGGGAGGAGAAAAAGUCCGGGUCUCACCUGGGAUUCUCUGUCUCCUGCAACAUGAAGGAUUUAGCCUGGGAGGAGGUGGUGAGAACUCUGGGAGAGAAAAAAGAAGGAAAGAAUAGUUUUACCCAUGCUGAAGUUAAUUUAAACCUUCACCUAGAGAAGCAAAAAAACCCCCACACUUUUCCAUUUUGUGCCUCCCUUCCUAGAGUUUUAGCCAAAGGUUUAGCUAAGUAAUUGGUUUUACC